UUUGGAAGAGUGGCGAUGUCAAGAGUGCCGCUUCGUAAGAGUGGCAAAUAGUUAAAAACCCCCUCGAUGGAUGGCGGCUGAUUCCUGCAUCGCCGCCGCCGCCGCCGCCGGCGGCCUCUCCCGUCGGCGAACUCCCUCGAGGUUUUGGUGGCUCUCGUCUCACCUCUUGCUUGGUUUACACGCUCUUGAGGGUAUAUUGUUGCAUCAAGACGGCGGCCGCCGGCCGGUAGGGGCUGUGAGGGAAGCAGGACAACCGCCGUCUCCUCGCGUGACAAGAAGGGGCGGAUGAAGGUGGUGUGCUUCUGCAACAAACUUCCAGACUGGGCUGGCUGCAGAUGACCCCAGAGAGAAACUCAGCAACAACAAGGCAACAAGCUGUCUGACAUUGGAAAUUCAGAACAGUAGUGGAUCUCUGGAUUGCAUAUUUGCAUUGAUGAAAAAGAGAGAGAAGGAAUUUGAGGGCAUCUCUUUGGAGAAAUUGAAGCACCUUCCUGACUAAGUGUCAUUGGCUGCCAAGCCAGCUUCCGGAGACAUCCUUCAUCAACUGGUGGAUGAAUGCAAGAAAAUAGUUCCCUCAGAAGUAGAGAAAAGGCUUUGACACAGUCGUCAUCUUGGUCGCCUGGUCAAUUUGGAAAGAGCGCAAUAACAGGGUGUUCAAACAUCGACAGCGCUCGUGGAGGGAAGUGGCCAAGGACGCAGUUGAUGAGUGCUGUGCGCCCCCCCCCCCCCCCCCGGGGCGGUCGUUUAAGUAAUAUCGCAAGAGAUAGGCUUCUUGUUAAUUUCCAUUUUCCUUUUUUUAAGUGUUGACCGUUGUUAUCUCAAACUUCUCUAAAUCUUAAUACAAAAGAUGCACAAGCCUUUUGUGCAUUCUCGGGAAAAAAAAAACACCUUCCUGACUUCGGUAA